rnacentral:rRNA from 1 species
GUGAGGAAUAUUGGUCAAUGGACGAGAGUCUGAACCAGCCAAGUCGCGUGAAGGAAGACGGUUCUAUGAAUUGUAAACUUCUUUUGUGCAGGAAUAAAGUGGGUUACGUGUAACCUUUUGUAUGUACUGUACGAAUAAGGAUCGGCUAACUCCGUGCCAGCAGCCGCGGUAAUACGGAGGAUCCGCGCGUUAUCCGGAUUUUUUGGGUUUAAUGGGUGCGUAGGUGGAUUGAUCAGUCAGCGGUGAAGGUUUGGAGCGUAACUGUAAAAUUGCCGUUGAGACUGUCGGUCUUGAGUGCAAAUGAGGUAGGCGGAAUGUGUUGUGUAGCGGUGAAAUGCUUAGAUAUAACACAGAACUCCGAUUGCGAAGGCAGCUUACUGGGAUGCAACUGACACUGAUGCACGCAAGCGUGGGUAUCAAACAGGAUUAGGAACCCGUGUCGUCC